rnacentral:misc_RNA from 1 species
GAUGAAGAACGUAGCGAAAUGCGAUAAGUAGUGUGAAUUGCAGAAUUCAGUGAAUCAUCGAAUCUUUGAACGCACAUUGCGCCCCUUGGUAUUCCAUGGGGCAUGCCUGUUCGAGCGUCAUUUGUACCUUCAAGCUCUGCUUGGUGUUGGGUGUUUGUCUCGCCUCUGCGUGUAGACUCGCCUCAAAACAAUUGGCAGCCGGCGUAUUGAUUUCGGAGCGCGGUACAUCUCGCGCUUUGCACUCAUAACGACGACGUCCAAAAGUACAUUUUUACACUCUUGACCUCGGAUCAGGUAGGGAUACCCGCUGAACUUAAGCAUAUCAAUAAGCGGAGGA